AUUGAACGCUGGCGGCAGGCCUAACACAUGCAAGUCGAGCGGAUGAAGGGAGCUUGCUCCUGGAUUCAGCUGCGGACGGGUGAGUAAUGCCUAGGAAUCUGCCUGGUAGUGGGGGAUAACGUCCGGAAACGGGCGCUAAUACCGCAUACGUCCUGAGGGAGAAAGUGGGGGAUCUUCGGACCUCACGCUAUCAGAUGAGCCUAGGUCGGAUUAGCUAGUUGGUGGGGUAAAGGCCUACCAAGGCGACGAUCCGUAACUGGUCUGAGAGGAUGUUCAGUCACACUGGAACUGAGACACGGUCCAGACUCCUACGGGAGGCAGCAGUGGGGAAUAUUGGACAAUGGGCGAAAGCCUGAUCCAGCCAUGCCGCGUGUGUGAAGAAGGUCUUCGGAUUGUAAAGCACUUUAAGUUGGGAGGAAGGGCAGUAAGUUAAUACCUUGCUGUUUUGACGUUACCAACAGAAUAAGCACCGGCUAACUUCGUG
rnacentral:rRNA from 1 species